ACCAUGCUGAAUAUACCGGUUCUCGUCAGAUCACCGAAGUCAAGCGUCAUUGGGCGCGGCCAGUACUUGGGUGGGUGACCGCC